rnacentral:lncRNA from 1 species
AGCCUGAUCCCCCGAUCCCGUUAGGUGCCUUUUACAACAAGCAUAGGUUGCUGGAGGCAAAUUCUAACCCAUAUCUUCAUGGGUAUCUGUAUGUCAAAGACCAUCUUGACACAGAUGGCACAAACAUUUAACUAAUUUAAUCUUGAAUAUUUUAACAAGAAUAAAAGUGCAUAUAUAGAAAAAGGUUUACCUAAAUUGUCGCUACAUUUGCAUAUAGAUAGUAUCUACUUACAUGUGGAGACAUGAUGUGCAUGUGUGGAUGAAUACAGAAAAUACUAGAACUAUUCUAGUUUUUGGAGGAAUUUGAUGCUGUAUAUAAGUCUGAGAGUACAGUUCCUGAUGUAAUGUUGAUUGUGUGAAGUUAUGGUUGUGUGAUAUCUGUGAUAUGACAUAUGUGAUAAUGUGUGCUAUGACAUGGUGAUCUGGUGUUAUAAUGCUUAUUGUUAUUGUUAUAACAGCAUUUGAUAAGGAAGUAAUUUAGGAAUAUGUGUGAUAGAGAAUGUUUCCUGCAUACUCAGGUUCCUGAUGGUUCUGCUUGUAGAUGUUACAGAUACUGUUGCUGUGUUUUACAGCCAUGUAUAUACACUGUUCAUGUACCUUGCACACUUAUGUAUUUAUUCACUGGUGUAUGAUGUUUUAAUGUUUAAUACAGUCAUGAAUAUCCUGUACAAAUAUUAUUAUUUUCACUCAUUGUUUAUUAGAAUAUGAUAAAGUAGGUAUUUACUGUCCCAAAUCUGGCAUCCUAACACAUACAUAUUAAAAAUGGAUGAAAAAUUGACAGAAUAUUUUUAUUCAUGUUUAGGAAUGAAUAUGGCAGUGUUUCUUGAUUUGGGAAGACUUAAAAAUAUUAUUAAUAAUAAAAUAUGACCUGAAAAUGAUAAUGCUUUACAAUCUUCUCAUCCUAACACUUUUAGAUUGACUUUAAUUAAUAUUUUGAACUAUUGUCUUCAGAGCAGGCUAAGUGUUUCGUCACUUGUGGCCAAGCACUAUAGUCAAUUUCUGGCAUUUGUCAGGGACCCCCAUUUUUUAACCUGGAACCCUGGACCUCUAUGAAAAAUAACCCUGGUAAAUCUCUGUUCGAAGUGUUCAUGUUUUAUAUUGUCAAAUUAGUAAAUACAUUUCUUAAAGAGGAACCAUUAGUAAAGGUAGAACCUUUGCUGCACAUGUGAAACGUAAAUUAGAUUGUCAAAAUCUUAUCAGAUAUUUUGUUCCUUAUUUAAUUCAAAUUCCAUAAAUGAUUUUAUAUUCACUGUUUUUAUGUAUAAAUAUCUGUCAUUUUAUUGGCAGUGGAUGAAGUGACACUUAUGUAUAGAUCUUAGUUGCACUGUGUUACAUGAAUGGUUUCAUCUGCUGUUUGAUGUCAUUGUAUAAAGUAUCUGGGCCUAUACAGAUGCUAGUGUUAGAAUAUUCAAGGCAGAUGAGGUACAGAGCUGUUCAGAUUACUGAUGUCGUCCGUACAGAUGUUGAUGCUUUUCAUCAUUAUUUUGUAGAAUAUUCAGUGAAAGUGUUUUUGUAAUUGACUCCAUGCAUUGCUCUGGCAUUUUUCAUGUUGCUGGAAUCAUAUCAGGUUUUUAAAUGUGAAUUUCAUUAUACUAUUCAAAAACAACAAUACAGUUGGAAAACAAUGUCUAUUUUAUUAUUGAAUUUAUUUAUACAUUAUGGAAAAAUAUUUUCCAUCACAUUUUUAUUAAUUAAUUUUUCCUACAUUUGGAGUUUGAUACAAGUUUGUCGCACAAAAAUCCCUCCAAAAUUAGCAAGGCAUGCAUGUAACCCAGCAGCCAUGGCUAUAGCCCAGGAAUAUGUGUGAUAUAUAUGAUUACAGUUUGUUACCUGCUUGAUAGUGUUGUCAUUGUACCUGGACAUCACAGAUUCCUGUCCAAGAUGGUCCAAAUGGUUGGUCCAGUCCAGGUUCUAAUAUUCUUUAAAGAAUGUAUAUGUUAAUCACUGCAACCAGAUCACUCACAUGUCAGUUUAUCAUGGUUGAGUGAAUGGGUGAGUUUAGUUUACGCCAUUUUUAGCAAUAUUCCAGCAAAUAUCACUGCAGGGACACCAGGAAUUGGCUUCACAUGUUGUACCCAUGUGAGAAUCGAACCCGGGACUUCGGCAUGUAAAUGCUUUAACCACUUGGCUACCCUGCCGCCCCCAUGGUUGAGUGAACACAUACCAAGGGUAGAAGUCGGAAGCAGUAUGUCCAAAGUGACAUGAAUUAUCAUUUGUUAAACAACCUCUCCCAAAUUGUGUACAUAUUUUCAAGUGCCUCUGUAUGAGAAUCAUUUUACACUUGUUGUUGGUCUUGAAAGAAAGAGACAGUGUUUUUUUUACAUUUUGUGAGCUAUUUGUGUGUAUUUCUCGUUAUUGUUAUCAGAAUUUCUCUGUGUUGCAUUCCCUGGAGGAAUGAUCCUACACUUUCUAUAAUGAACAACACUGUAGUAUUGGUAAUUGUUUUGUGGAUGGAUGUUUGAUUUUUUGUCUGUUAUUGCAUUCGUUCAUCAAAAUAUUACAUAUAUUACACUAUUUUCAACACAUUGCAUUUUUUGUGAAAAUGAUCUCAUUUUGUUGAUGUUUGUGACAAUCCACUGCUUUUUUACAUAUUGUUUUCUGCUUCUGAGGUUUUUUUACACCACAGUAUUAGAUAUGUCCUUGCACUAGAUCAUUGUUUCUUAUUUGACACGACUGAAAUGUAUUUUGAACGUAUUGUUUUGAGGUCAUACUGUCACCUUUGGCUGCCAUGUUUUACAGCUACUGAAUUAUCAGUAACGUAUGGCUUGUAAUCUGUGUAAACUUCUUACUGUGGAAAUGAUACAGUGAUGGCAAUUUUGUUCAUAAGAUUAAAUUCUUAACAUGA